GAUUCCUUAGUGUAGUGGUUAUCACGUGCGCCUCACAGGCGCAAGGUCCCCGGUUCGAGCCCGGGCGGAAUCA
rnacentral:tRNA from 1 species